UGCCUGGGGACCUUCUGUAGCAUUUAAUAUAUCACACUCCACUGUUCCCACUAUGAUUUUGAACCGCUUUUGCCCAAUGACUCAUUUUGCCCAUCAACACCCAUACACAGCUCUCUGGCAUCCGCUGGGUUGCGAGGAGACCAUUUCUUUUGCAUCUGUGAGCACAACUCCUCGGGACCUUUUGAUAUGGCAACAGUCCUGGGCCGACUCCCCAUACUCCUCCCUAGCCUGCUCCACACUCCAUGUUUUCGCUCUGUCUCCAAAUAUGGUCGCUUCGGGAAUUCACGUUGUGAGAACAAAUCUCGGUUUUCUGCAUGAGCACAGUAUCCCCUACUUUUCCAGUUCAAUGACCCUCCCCUCUGUCCAAAGAGGUCGUCUCCUGCCCCUUCUGGAGACCUGGGUCUCUUGAAACCUCUAAAAUGUUGGAACUCAUUUCUUUUCCAUUGUGAAGUAUAUUUGUUGAGCAAAAAUUUAGAAGUUGGUUUAAAGACAGGCUGAACCCUUUUUCUCUCGUUUACUUUCCACACACCAACUUCCGGACUCUUUGGUAUUAUCAUCUUGAGUUUGAGAUCAUCAGAGAUAACCACAUUCUUGCCUUUAGUAGUUUCGGCCUGAUCUGUCCGAACUAACACUCUUUUGCUCUCGAAAUCAAUUACAUUGAUAGGGAAUGGAUCUUUAUCAAGCUUCAUUUUGUUAGCUUCUCCAAGUGUCAAUCGUCCAUCAGUCAGGGCCGAUUGUAUCUGACGACAAAAAUAAUUACACUCGUUAGUAGAAUGAGAAAAUGAAUUAUGCCAUUUACAAUAAUCUUUCUUAGCCAAUUGCUCAGGGGUGGAAUAACAUGCCCCUCCCUUAAUCUAAUGAUGUUAUUCUGUAAUAACAUGUCAAACAAUUUAUCACACUUGGACACAUCAAAUGUAUAUUUCAUCUCUUCCCUUUUCCCUGGACUUGGAUUUAAAAAAGCACACGCUAUAGGCCUACCCUUUGGUGCAUCUACCCAUUCAGCCACGCAUACAUCUGUCUCAUCAUCACUGUCAAUAUUGGGCUCCAACAUGUUAACCCCCCGUUUCUCCUUUUCCCUACUGUUUGUGUCUCUAAAUCGGCUAUACUGCUUUUAUCCCUAACACGAUUUUCACGGGUGAUAGCGCGCUGCAUAACUUGGUUUAUAUCGUUAAAGUCUUGUCCCUCUAACUUUCCUUCAGAUAAGACGACAACCCUACAAAAGCUAAAUCGGCCAAGUCCCUUUCCCCUAGAGUUAAGUUAUAACAUUUAUUCCUAGUUUCCCUAAAUCUUUUAAUGUACUCAGAAACAGUCUCAUUAUACUUUUGUCUGACUGUAGUAAGAUGUGAUAACCUAAGCUCAGUUUCACCACAAUAAAAGUAAUGAAUUUUUUUCUCAUUUUGAACCGCUUUCGCCCAACGGCUCAUUUUGCCCAUCAACACCCAUACACAGCUCUCUGGCAUCCGCUGGGUUGCGAGGAGACCAUUUCUUUUGCAUUUGCGAGCACAACUCCUCGGGACCUUUUGAUAUGGCAACAGUCCUGGGCCGACUCCCCAUAC
rnacentral:lncRNA from 1 species